AUUGAACGCUGGCGGCAGGCCUAACACAUGCAAGUCGAACGAGUGGCGGACGGGUGAGUAAUGUCUGGGAAACUGCCCGAUGGAGGGGGGUAACUACUGGAAACGGUAGCUAAUACCGCAUACCAUCGGAUGUGCCCAGAUGGGAUUAGCUAGUAGGUGGGGUAACGGGUCACCUGGGCGACGAUCCCUAGCUGGUCUGAGAGGAUGACCAGCCACACUGGAACUGAGACACGGUCCAGACUCCUACGGUAGGCAGCAGUGGGGAAUAUUGGACAAUGGGCGCAAGCCUGAUGCAGCCAUGCCGCGUGUAUGAAGAAGGCCUUCGGGUUGUAAAGUACUUUCAGCGAGGAGGCGUUACUCGCAGGAGGAGCGCCGGCUAACGCCGUGCCAGCGGCCGCGGUAAUUC
rnacentral:rRNA from 1 species